GACGAACGCUGGCGGCGUGCUUAGCACAUGCAAGUCGAACGGAAAGGCCCUGCUUUUGUGGGGUGCCCGAGUGGCGAACGGGUGAGUAACACGUGAGUAACCUGCCCUUGACUUUGGGAUAACUUCAGGAAACUGGGGCUAAUACCGGAUAGGAGCUCCUGCUGCAUGGUGGGGGUUGGAAAGUUUCGGCGGUUGGGGAUGGACUCGCGGCUUAUCAGCUUGUUGGUGGGGUAGUGGCUUACCAAGGCUUUGACGGGUAGCCGGCCUGAGAGGGUGACCGGCCACAUUGGGACUGAGAUACGGCCCAGACUCCUACGGGAGGCAGCAGUGGGGAAUAUUGCACAAUGGGCGGAAGCCUGAUGCAGCAACGCCGCGUGCGGGAUGACGGCCUUCGGGUUGUAAACCGCUUUCGCCUGUGACGAAGCGUGAGUGACGGUAAUGGGUAAAGAAGCACCGGCUAACUACGUG
rnacentral:rRNA from 1 species